rnacentral:rRNA from 1 species
UGGGGAAUAUUGCACAAUGGGCGCAAGCCUGAUGCAGCCAUGCCGCGUGUGUGAAGAAGGCCUUCGGGUUGUAAAGCACUUUCAGCGAGGAGGAAGGUGGUGAACUUAAUACGUUCAUCAAUUGACGUUACUCGCAGAAGAAGCACCGGCUAACUCCGUGCCAGCAGCCGCGGUAAUACGGAGGGUGCAAGCGUUAAUCGGAAUUACUGGGCGUAAAGCGCACGCAGGCGGUUUGUUAAGUCAGAUGUGAAAUCCCCGGGCUCAACCUGGGAACUGCAUUUGAAACUGGCAAGCUAGAGUCUCGUAGAGGGGGGUAGAAUUCCAGGUGUAGCGGUGAAAUGCGUAGAGAUCUGGAGGAAUACCGGUGGCGAAGGCGGCCCCCUGGACGAAGACUGACGCUCAGGUGCGAAAGCGUGGGGAGCAAACAGGAUUAGAUACCCCUGGUAGUCCACGCUGUAAACGAUGUCGAUUUUGGAGGUUGUGCCCUUGAGGCGUGGCUUCCGGAGCUAACGCGUUAAAUCGACCGCCUGGGGAGUACGGCCGCAAGGUUAAAACUUAAAUGAAUU